rnacentral:rRNA from 1 species
UAAAGCUACUAAGAGCUAAUGGAGAAUGCCUUGGUACUGACAGCCGAAGAAGGACGUGUAAAGCUGCGAUAAGCUACGGGGAGUUGCUAAAAGACCUUGAUCCGUAGAAAUCCGAAUGGGGAAACCCUGCAAGGUUAAAACCUUGUAAUCCACAGAUGAAUACAUAGUCUGUGAGAAGGAAAGCCUGUGAACUGAAACAUCUUAGUAACAGGACGAAAAGAAAAUAACCAAAUGAUUCCGAGAGUAGCGGCGAGCGAAAUCGGAAGAGCCUAAACAGUAUGUACGUGAUAGACUGCAAUCGUUGUGCAUAUUGAGUUGUGGGACUUAUGGUAUAAUUUGCAGAUUAUACAAAGAGUUACAAAAUUAUUUAAUAGCUAAAUACAACUGGGAAGUUGAGCCAUAGCGGGUGAUAGCCCCUUAAGCGACAUUAAAUAAUCUCUUAUAAGUAUCCCGAGUAAGGCGGGGCACGUGAAACCCUGUCUGAAUCCACCGGGACCAUCCGGUAAGGCUAAAUACUAGUCAGUGACCGAUAGUGAACGAGUACAGUGAUGGAAAGGCGAAAAGAACAGUGAGAAGCUGAGUGAAAUAGACCCUGAAACCGUUAGCUUACAAUCAGUUAGAGCCCUAUUGAUAGGGUGAUAGCGUGCCUGUUGAAGAAUGAGCCGGCGAGUUAUUUUAUGUUGCAAGGUUAAGGAGUUAAUAUCCGGAGCCCCAGCGAAAGCGAGUUUGAAAAGAGCGUUAAGUAACAUGAAAUAGACCCGAACCUUGGUGAUCUAACCUUGACCAGGAUGAAGCGUGGGUAACACUACGUGGAGGUCCGAACCGACUGAUGUUGAAAAAUCAGCGGAUGAGUUGAGGUUAGGGGUGAAAUGCCAAUCGAACCAAGAGCUAGCUGGUUCUCCCCGAAAUGCGUUUAGGCACAGCGUCAGAUAUAUCUUACAGGAGGUAGAGCACUGGUUUUGUGCGGGCGGCGAAAUGCUGUACCAAACAAUGUCAAACUCCGAAUGCCUGUAAUGUAACUGUCUGGCAGUGAGGCUACGAGUGAUAAGAUCCGUGGCCAAGAGGGAAACAGCCCAGAACGCCAGUUAAGGUCCCUAAUAUAUGCUAAGUGGUUAAGGAGGUAGAGUUGCAUUGACAACCAGGAGGUUGGCUUAGAAGCAGCCAUCCCUUGAAAGAGUGCGUAAUAGCUCACUGGUCAAGCGACUCCGCGCCGAAAAUACACCGGGACUCAAGCAUAUAACCGAAGCUGCGUCAUUACAGUUUACUGUAAUGGGUAGGGGAGCGUUCUGUUGUAGGACGAAGUUAGAUCGAAAGGACUAAUGGACGAAGCAGAAGUGAGAAUGUCGGCAUAAGUAGCGAAAACAUUGGUGAGAAUCCAAUGCACCGUAAACCUAAGGUUUCCCCUGGCAGGCUCGUCCGCGGGGGGUUAGUCGGAACCUAAGAUGAGGCCGAAAGGCGUAGUCGAUGGACAUCAGGUUGAUAUUCCUGAACUAUCUGGUAAUCGUUAUCAGAUGCGGAGGGACGCAGGAGGAUAGGCAUGCAGACGAACGGAAGUGUCUGUUUAAGCGUGUAGCUAGUUUGAGUAGGAAAAUCCGCUCAGGCGUUAAGACGUGAGGCGUUAUGAGGAGAGUCUACGGACUCGAAGCUGUUGAAUCCACACUGCCAAGAAAAACUUCGCAAUCGAGAUUAUCCGGUAUCCGUACCGUAAACCGCCACAGGUAGGUUAGUAGAACAUACUAAGGUGCGCGAGACAACUCUCGCUAAGGAACUCGGCAAAAUCACCUCGUAACUUCGGGAGAAGAGGUACCCUGGUAGCGUGAAGCGAUUUACUCGUGAAGCGUGAUAGGGUCGCAGUGAAUUGGCCCAUGCGACUGUUUACCAAAAACACAGGUCUCUGCUAAGUCGAUCAAGACGAUGUAUAGGGGCUGACGCCUGCCCGGUGUCGGAAGGUUACGUGGAAGGGUUAGUAGUAAUACGAAGCUCUGAAACUAAGCCCCGAUGAACGGCGGCCGUAACUAUAACGGUCCUAAGGUAGCGAAAUUCCUUGUCAGGUA